CUCUGGGUGGUGUAAACAGUUAACACAUCUGGCUGUUAACAAAAAGGUUGGAGGUUUGAGUCCUCCCAGAGA
rnacentral:tRNA from 1 species